rnacentral:rRNA from 1 species
UACGUACCGUCCAAACGUUAUUCGGUAUCACUGGGCUUAAAGCGUUCGUAGGCGGCCUAGAAGGUGAGAUGUGAAAGCCCACGGCUCAACCGUGGAAUUGCGUUUCAAACCACUAGGCUUGAGGAAGACAGGGGUGAAGGGAACUUAUGGUGGAGCGGUGAAAUGCGUUGAUAUCAUAGGGAACACCGGUGGCGAAAGCGCUUCACUGGGUCUUUUCUGACGCUGAGGAACGAAAGCUAGGGUAGCGAACGGG